rnacentral:rRNA from 1 species
UACGUAGGGACCAAGCGUUGUCCGGAUUUAUUGGGCGUAAAGAGCGUGUAGGCGGUCAGGUAGGUCGGUUGUGAAAACUGGAGGCUCAACCUUCAGAGGUCGACCGAAACCCCCUGGCUAGAGUCCGGGAGAGGAGAGUGGAAUUCCUGGUGUAGCGGUGAAAUGCGCAGAUAUCAGGAAGAACACCCGUGGCGAAAGCGGCUCUCUGGAACGGUACUGACGCUGAGACGCGAAAGCGUGGGGAGCGAACAGG